rnacentral:rRNA from 1 species
UACGGUAGGGGCAGCGUUGUCCGGAUUUAUUGGGCGUAAAGCGCGUGUAGGCGGCCACGCAGGUCCGCUGUGAAAACUCGAGGCUCAACCUCGAGCUGUCGGUGGAAACCGCGUGGCUAGAGUCCGGAAGAGGGGACUGGAAUUCCCGGUGUAGCGGUGGAAUGCGCAGAUAUCGGGAGGAACACCCGUGGCGAAAGGCGGGUCCCUGGGACGGCUCUGACGCGAGAGACGCGAAAGCGUGGGGA